UGCCAGCAGCCGCGGUAAUACUGAAGGUGCAAGCGUUAAUCGGAAUCACUGGGCGUAAAGCGUACGUAGGCGGCGUAUCAAGUCAGAUGUGAAAGCCCAGGGCUCAACCCUGGAAUUGCAUUUGAUACUGCAUCGCUAGAGUAUAGGAGAGGGAAGUGGAAUUUCUGGUGUAGGAGUGAAAUCCGUAGAGAUCAGAAGGAACACCCGUGGCGAAGGCGACUUCCUGGACUAUUACUGACACUGAGGAGCGAAAGCGUGGGGAGCAAACAGGAUUAGAUA
rnacentral:rRNA from 1 species